UAUUGGUUGGUUUUUUUGCUUGAUUCUUCAACUUUAUUGGGUUCUUUAGCUUAAUCUAGAGGCCUGGAAAGUUUGUCUUUUUAUUACCGACAAUGAGAAAGCUUUAUAGGAAACUUGUGUUGAUACAAAAUCCAUUGACAAGUGUGAGGAAAAACAUCAAUUCGCACUCUGGAAGGGUGUUUAGUGAUAGAAAAUGGAUUAUCCCAUUUCUUGCAAGCUUACUUGUAUCGGUUACUUUGCCUCUCUCGUCUGAUUUCCUUCUGUGAUGGUAGCGCAAAGAAGAUGUAAACACAUUGAUGGAGCUAUCUACUCUUGAUUCUUUAUAAUGGUCGGUAGCUAUGGCGGGUCAAUCCACCGUCUAUCUGUUGCCGCUUGAUUCGCUGCUUGAUUUGGAAUUUCUUCUACCCAAAACACAUCUCCACUUCCUAUGAACGAGUCUGUGGCUAGAAUAUGAGCUGCUUUGUUUCCUUAUCUGGGAAUAAAAUUGAACUCACAUGAGUUUCAGUGUCACCGUUCGAGAAUCACCUUCCAGUAUCAUUUAAUCAAAGCCUAGGUCGAUUACGAAUUGAAUACCAUGGAUUGCAGCCACUACUUCAGUUGCAAAUGCCUAUGAGACCUGUGAGUUUACCUUGACUAUGUUGGGUGGAGGUGGAGUCCAUUUCUCGACAAUCCUGUGUUGGGGGCCAUUUAAUCUGGAAUUUGCCAAGGUAAAAUCUUUGCGCUGGCCUUUGAUGACGGUGAUGAGUUCAUCUCUGCUUGUAGUUUUUCCUUCAUGUAUCCUUUUGUUUCGAGCAAACCAUAAUGCCCAAAUACUUACAAGUAUCUAUGCAUGUUUUUCACUUGUAAAAUUCUCUAAUGCCCAUCUUAGCCAUCUUUAAAAUUCCAAUGUGAACUUUGACUGGGCC